UUGACAAUUUGAUCUAUACUCAGACAACACUCACAGAAGCAUUUAGACCCUCUGGCAGGCACAGGCCAGCUGACGCCAGCGGUCCAAGGACGGGCCUGCCAAAGCAACAGAGGUAUGGUUCGCAAAGGGUGGGAGAUCUACCCCGUGGGGCAGGUUCCUCAUUAAUGAUCCUUCCGCAGGUUCACCUACGGAAA
rnacentral:misc_RNA from 1 species